rnacentral:rRNA from 1 species
GACGAACGCUGGCGGCGUGCUUAACACAUGCAAGUCGAACGGAAAGGCCCUGCUUUUGUGGGGUGCUCGAGUGGCGAACGGGUGAGUAACACGUGAGUAACCUGCCCUUGACUUUGGGAUAACUUCAGGAAACUGGGGCUAAUACCGGAUAGGAGCUCCUGCUGCAUGGUGGGGGUUGGAAAGUUUCGGCGGUUGGGGAUGGACUCGCGGCUUAUCAGCUUGUUGGUGGGGUAGUGGCUUACCAAGGCUUUGACGGGUAGCCGGCCUGAGAGGGUGACCGGCCACAUUGGGACUGAGAUACGGCCCAGACUCCUACGGGAGGCAGCAGUGGGGAAUAUUGCACAAUGGGCGGAAGCCUGAUGCAGCAACGCCGCGUGCGGGAUGACGGCCUUCGGGUUGUAAACCGCUUUCGCCUGUGACGAAGCGUGAGUGACGGUAAUGGGUAAAGAAGCACCGGCUAACUACGUGA